ensembl:miRNA MIR148B microRNA 148b
GUGAAGGCAGCAUCUGAGGUGAAGUUCUGUUAUACACUCAGACUGUGACUCCAGGGAAGUCAGUGCAUCACAGAACUUUGUCUCGGGAGCUCGGCA